GGCCCGUUGGUGUAAUGGUAACAUUCCCGGCUGAGUAUAUCUUCGUCUGCAUACGUGCCGCAGGAAGACGACGGUUCGAGUCCGUCACGGGUCC